rnacentral:misc_RNA from 1 species
CCAAUAGCGUAUAUUAAAGUUGUUGCAGUUAAAAAGCUCGUAGUUGAAUUUCGGGAUUGACGUGAUGGUCAUGCCUUAAGGGGUAUGAACUGUUGCUGUUGAUUUCUCACCUUCUGGAGAAACUUGAUGUCCUUUAUUGGGUGUCUUGCGGAUCCAGGACCUUUACCUUGAAAAAAUUAGAGUGUUUAAAGCAGGCAUUUUUGCUCGAAUACAUUAGCAUGGAAUAAUAGAAUAGGACGGCAUGGUUCUAUUUUGUUGGUUUCUAGGAUCACCGUAAUGAUUAAUAGGGAUAGUUGGGGGCAUUAGUAUUCAAUUGUCAGAGGUGAAAUUCUUGGAUUUAUUGAAGACUAACUACUGCGAAAGCAUUUGCCAAGGAUGUUUUCAUUAAUCAAGAACGAAAGUUAGGGGAUCGAAGACGAUCAGAUACCGUCGUAGUCUUAACCAUAAACUAUGCCGACUAGGGAUCGGACGAAGUUAAUUUUAUAAUGACGCGUUCGGCACCUUAC